GAACCGAUAGGCCCGUCGGGGCCUGUGUUGGGCGUCGCGCCCGUGCGCGUUGCCUGGAACCGAUCGGUCGAUGGAGCGGACGCGAUCCACUAGGACUGACAACGCUCUGAAGACCCUAAAUCUCAG
rnacentral:misc_RNA from 1 species